UAAAACACCCUGCUCACUGAUUCUUCUAUUCAGCAGGAAGAGGAGGACAGGCCUGUUCCCCUCACAUACCUGUAAAAGGACUUGGUGAACAACAUGUCACUCAUCUGAGAGCUGCUACGUUCUAUUUCCAGUUAUCUUAAGUACAGCAUAACUUUAUAGCCAUAUGGGUAUCUCACCAAAAGUGGUAGAAAAUGAAUGGCACCAACUGGCUGGGAGAGAAGGAAAUGCAUCACUCAUGGAAGCAGGGCUGCAUUUUCCAAUAGCCACAUCAACUUUCACUCUCCAGACAAUACAUAGCAUUUGCCAGCCAGCUUCCAUGUUACCCUUCUGCAGACAUGUGAGUGAAGCCAGGACAUAAAGAUCAGCCUCUUAACAGCACCUUACUACAGCGAGCAUGAGCCCAGCCCAACAGAAUUCUGCCAACUCAUUAGUGAUUGCUCUAAGAAUUCUUAAAACAUCAGCAGUUCUAGAGCGGCUUGGGGAUCAUUCCUUAGCUCAACUGCUAUAAGAGUUAAUGUUGACUCCAAGCUGAAGAUGUAAAACAAACUAUAAAGAGACAAUGUCAAGUAAGAUAUAAACACAGAGGAAAGCUACAGCUGUUAAUCACUGUGUAUAAGCAACACGGCUACUUUCGGAUAGUACAGAUAAUUUUUCAUUGCCUUGGUCCUCAAGAGGUCAGAAGCCUGGAGCACAGUGUGAUGUGUGAGAGGGAAGAAGAGAUCAGCAGACGGGAGAAGGGAAAGAUCCAAGUCAAGGAGAAGCCUCCAUUACUUGGGACUAAUACAAGUUAAACAUGAAAUGAACCUAGUUACUCACUGGGUUGGAUUUUUUUCUUUCCUUUGCUGCUUCUCCAUUUAUUUGCUCCCAUAAGGUUGUUCUCUGCCUCCAUUAUAGCAGCUCAGGUUCUCCAAUGCAUCCUCAUGCCAAUGCAGAGCCCAGCACAAAAACCAAGACACGGCAACUGGGGCUACUUAACUUAAGCCCAAGUUGCCACAGCCUCAAUGCAUGUGGCAGCAGCUGGACAAUAUAAAGCAUUUCAACUACGCCUGUUCCUAGUCCUGCCACCUCCCUCACGCUAACCCCUUGUAUGCCCUCUGUACCAGGUCUUUAGGAAUACACACCUGGAACGAUGCGGCCUCUGGUGGGACACUACUGAGAGUAUCAGUUCAGGACAAAUUGCUUAGAGCAGGACAGUCACAGCCCAAAGCUGGGAUUUCUUUACUAUCAAGGCACAGCAAACCAGCCAAACAGAGAGGACUUCGGUUUUACCCCACUGGCUAACC